rnacentral:rRNA from 1 species
UACGUAGGGACCGAGCGUUGUCCGGAAUCAUUGGGCGUAAAGAGCGUGUAGGCGGCCCCUUAAGUCCUGCGUGAAAUCCUGCGGCUCAACCGCAGACGGUCGUGGGAAACUGGAGGGCUAGAGUGCGGGAGAGGAGAGUGGAAUUCCCGGUGUAGCGGUGAAAUGCGCAGAUAUCGGGAAGAACACCCGUGGCGAAGGCGGCUCACUGGCCCGGUACUGACGCUGAGGCGCGAAAGCGUGGGGAGCAAACAGG